GUCAAAAACAAAACCAACCCAGCAACAGCCCGUGUCAACAGGGUGGGAAGUGAGGAGGCGCUGAACAGCCCUGAGCGGAACAGCAGGAACGGGGGAGGUGGAGGACGGCGGGGGCAAGCGCAGACCUCCCACCCUGGGGACGGGGGAAGGCAGCAGGAAACAAACAAGGUAGUUGGAAGCUGCAAGGUACAGUGGGAAAGACUAGUUUUGGAACCAAACAGACCUAAGUUCCAAUUCAAGCUUCGUCUUCAAGUGCUCAGCAAACACCUGUGGACGGGAUACACCAGGGGACAGGGCUGGCAGUAGAGACAGCAGGACCAAGGACGGGAACAGUCAUCUGGCAGCAUUUCUGAGGAGCCCAGCACCUCGUGAAUAGCUGACCCAAGUCACCAUUCCCAAGGUUGGAGUCACAAUAGCCAGAAGACGGAAGCUAGCCAAGCGUGCACUGAUGAAUGAACCGGUACGCGAACGUGGUCCCUCCACAGGCCGGAAUGUCACUCCUCCUGCACAGGGAAGGAGCCUCUGCUUCCUGCUGCGCUGUGGAUGAGCGUGAAGACGCUGUGCUGAGUGACAGUACCCAGUCGGGAGGGACAGGUGCUGCGGGACCCCAUGCACCUACACAAGGCACGUUCACAGGGACAGAAAGCGGGCCGGGGUGCCAGGGGCUGGGGGAGGGAGGGGUCGGUGUUUCAUGGGGACGGAGUGUCAGUGUAGAGACAGCAACGAGAAGCAGAGAUGAUGGUGAGGGCGGCUGCCCAAGGGGAACGUGCCUGAUGCCACUUAACUGGACACUUACAGGUAGUUAAAGUGGUAAACUCUGUUACAUGUAUUUUACUGCAAUUGGGGGGGGGAACUCUGGAGUUGGGUACAGGGUCCCCUUUCAGGGCGAUAAAAAUGUUCUGGAACUACACAGAGGUGCUACUUGUUCACCAUCGUGAAUGUACUAAAUGUUAGUGAAUUGCUCACUUUAAGAGUUAAUUUUGGGCACCUGGGUGGCUUAGUCCUUAAGUGUCUACCUUUGCCUCAGGACAUGAUCUCAGGGUCCUGGGAUGGAUCCCCGCAGCAGGCUCCCUGCUUGGCAGAAAGCCUACUUUCC